CAAUUAUUCCCUCCGUCCCAAAAUUCUUGUCUUAGAUUAGUCUAGAUACAAAUGUAUCUAAUACUAAAACGUGACUUGAUACAUCCGUAUUUAGACAAAUUUAAGACAAGAAUUUUGGGACGGAGGGAGUACAUC
rfam:Triticum aestivum genome assembly, contig: Triticum_aestivum_CS42_TGACv1_scaffold_093921_2AL